CAGCCGCCGCGGUAAUACGGAGGGAGCUAGCGUUGUUCGGAAUUACUGGGCGUAAAGCGCACGUAGGCGGUUAUUCAAGUCAGAGGUGAAAGCCCGGGGCUCAACCCCGGAACUGCCUUUGAAACUAGAUGACUGGAAUCUUGGAGAGGUCAGUGGAAUUCCGAGUGUAGAGGUGAAAUUCGUAGAUAUUCGGAAGAACACCAGUGGCGAAGGCGACUGACUGGACAAGUAUUGACGCUGAGGUGCGAAAGCGUGGGGAGCGAACAGGAUUAGAUACCCGCGUAGUCCCUGUCUCUUAUAC
rnacentral:rRNA from 1 species